AAACGAUACCGUGAUUCACGCAAAUAAGCAGAUUAGAUUCUCCUCUUAUGUCACCGGAGCCAGAUAACGGUUGUCUUCAUCGACUGACACGCGUUUUGAAAUACACGGCGACACAACAAACAACUGAUUCCCGUUAUGAGCCACCUCUAGUCAGUUUUGAAGCAUGUUGCAACAUAACCUCAUUGCGAAUCGGUGGAUAAUGUCGAAAAUAAUGAUUUACGAUAUUUGAAAUCGUAAAUUUCGAAAGGUAUCAUGUUGUCGCGAAGUGAUUACUUGAUGGUAAAUAAUCGUAUUAAUAGAACACAAAUAUGGACACAAACUUGUAUCUAUCAUGGAAACUAAUUCGUGAAUCUUAUUCCAUCCUUCUGAAUCAUCCCCAAAAGAUAUUAACAAGCUAUACUUCAUCGCUCUAAAAGUUUGUACAAUCUUUUCUGAAUAUUUAAUAUCAAGUUAAUUACUACUUUUGUGGCUUUUUAACCCGAAUUUGCAUCAUCGUUAACAAGGAGAGUACAAGACCUUUAGGAUUCCGAUUUACUUGAA